rnacentral:rRNA from 1 species
CUGGCGGCGUGCUUAACACAUGCAAGUUCGAACGAUUGAAAGCCUAGCUUCGCUAGGUGGAUUAUCGGCGAACGGGUGAGUAAUACGUGAGUCGACCUACCUUUUGACUCUGGGAUAAGCCUGGGAAAACUGGGUUCUAAUACCGGAAUACGACCAAUCUCCGCAUGGGGUGUUCGGUGGAAAGCGUUAUGGAGUGGUUUUAGAUGGGCUCACGGCCUAUCAGCUUGUUGGUGAGGUAAUGGCUUACCAAGGCGACGACGGGUAGCCGGCCUGAGAGGGUGACCGGCCACACUGGGACUGAGACACGGCCCAGACUCCUACGGGAGGCAGCAGUGGGGAAUAUUGCACAAUGGGCGCAAGCCUGAUGCAGCGACGCCGCGUGAGGGAUGACGGCCUUCGGGUUGUAAACCUCUGUUAGCAUCGAAGAAGCGAAAGUGACGGUAGGUGCAGAGAAAGCGCCGGCUAACUACGUGCCAGCAGCCGCGGUAAUACGUAGGGCGCGAGCGUUGUCCGGAAUUAUUGGGCGUAAAGAGCUUGUAGGCGGUUGGUCGCGUCUGCUGUGAAAGGCUGGGGCUUAACCCUGGUUUUGCAGUGGGUACGGGCUAACUAGAGUGCAGUAGGGGAGACUGGAAUUCCUGGUGUAGCGGUGGAAUGCGCAGAUAUCAGGAGGAACACCGAUGGCGAAGGCAGGUCUCUGGGCUGUAACUGACGCUGAGAAGCGAAAGCAUGGGGAGCGAACAGGAUUAGAUACCCUGGUAGUCCAUGCCGUAAACGUUGGGCACUAGGUGUGGGGGACAUUCCACGUUUUCCGCGCCGUAGCUAACGCAUUAAGUGCCCCGCCUGGGGAGUACGGCCGCAAGGCUAAAACUCAAAGAAAUUGACGGGGGCCCGCACAAGCGGCGGAGCAUGCGGAUUAAUUCGAUGCAACGCGAAGAACCUUACCAAGGCUUGACAUAUACUGGACUGCGUCAGAGAUGGCGUUUCCCUUCGGGGCUGGUAUACAGGUGGUGCAUGGUUGUCGUCAGCUCGUGUCGUGAGAUGUUGGGUUAAGUCCCGCAACGAGCGCAACCCUCGUUCUAUGUUGCCAGCACGUGAUGGUGGGGACUCAUAGGAGACUGCCGGGGUCAACUCGGAGGAAGGUGGGGAUGACGUCAAAUCAUCAUGCCCCUUAUGUCUUGGGCUUCACGCAUGCUACAAUGGCCGGUACAGAGGGUUGCGAUACUGUGAGGUGGAGCUAAUCUCUAAAAGCCGGUCUCAGUUCGGAUUGGGGUCUGCAACUCGACCCCAUGAAGUCGGAGUCGCUAGUAAUCGCAGAUCAGCAACGCUGCGGUGAAUACGUUCCCGGGCCUUGUACACACCGCCCGUCA